rnacentral:rRNA from 1 species
UACAGAGGGUGCGAGCGUUAAUCGGAUUUACUGGGCGUAAAGCGUGCGUAGGUGGCUAAUUAAGUCAAAUGUGAAAUCCCCGAGCUUAACUUGGGAAUUGCAUUCGAUACUGGUUAGCUAGAGUAUGGGAGAGGAUGGUAGAAUUCCAGGUGUAGCGGUGAAAUGCGUAGAGAUCUGGAGGAAUACCGAUGGCGAAGGCAGCCAUCUGGCCUAAUACUGACACUGAGGUACGAAAGCAUGGGGAGCAAACAGGAUUAGAUACCCGGGUAGUCC